AUGGGGGAAGGGGAGAGCUGUAGAGACAGGGUAGUCGGCAAAAUGCAGCUCAAGUCAGGAUGCCUCCAGAGGGUGCAUGCAGCUGGGGAAGGGGACAUGGGACAUGGCUAUGGAGGAUCCUCUUGUAUCCCUCCUGGGAAACCUGCAUGCUUGAUCUCCUUUCCAAAAUGCCUGUACACCAAUGCACACAGCAUGGGGAACAAACAGGAAGAACUAGAGAUGUGUGUGCGGUCGCAGGGCCAUGAUCUCAUUGCCAUUACAGAGACAUGGUGGGAUAGCUCGCAUGACUGGAGUGCUGUCAUGGAUGGCUACAUGCUUUUUAGGAAAGACAGGCCAGGAAGGCGAGGUGGUGGAGUUGCUCUUUAUGUGAGAGAGCAACUGGAAUGCAUUGAGCUGUGCCUAGGGGUGGAGGAAGAGCGAGUCGAGAGCUUAUGGGUAAGGMUUAAAGGGCAGGCUAGCAUGGGUGACACUGUUGUGGGUGUUUACUACAGGCCACCUGAUCAGGAAGAGGAAGUCGAUGAGGCCUUCUACAGACAGCUGGAAGUAGCCUCCCGAUCCCAGGCCCUGGUUCUCAUGGGGGACUUCAACCAGCCUGAUAUCUGCUGGAAAGACAACACAGCUAGGCACAAACAGUCCUGGAGGUUCCCGCAGAGCAUUGGUGACAACUCUUUGACACAGGUGGUGGAGGAGCCAGCAAGGAGAGGUGCGCUGCUGGACCUCGUACUAACAAACAAAGAAGGACUGGUGGAAGAUGUGAGGGUUGGGGGCAGCCUGGGCUGCAGUGACCAUGAGAUGGUGGAGUUCAGGAUCCUGCAAGGAGGAGGCAGGGCACUAAGGAGGAUCACAACCCUGGACUUGAGGAGAGCAAACUUUGGCCUCUUCGGGGACCUGCUUGGAGGAAUCCCAUGGGUUAGGGCCCUAGAAGGAAGGGGCGUUCAAGAGAGCUGGUUAAUGUUCAAAGAUCACUUCCUCCAGGCUCAAGAUCGGUGCAUCCCUAUGAGUAGGAAGUCAAGCAAAGGAGGCAGGAGACCUGCAUGGAUGAGCAAGGAGCUCCUGGCAAAACUCAACCAGAAGAAGGAAGUAUACAGAAAGUGGAAAGGGGGACAGGCCACUUGGGAGGAAUAUAGGAACAUUGUCAGAGUAUGCAGAGAGGCGACGAGGAAGGCUAAGGCCCAUUUGGAAUUAAAUCUGGCAAGAGAUGUCAAGGACAGCAAGAAGGGCUUCUUCAAAUGCAUCAGCAGCAAGAGGAAGACUAGGGAAAAUGUGGGCCGUUUGCUGAAUGGGGUGGGUGCCCUGGUGACGAAGGAUGCAGAGAAGGCAGAGUUACUGUACUGA
ensembl:lncRNA